GACGAACGCUGGCGGCGUGCUUAACACAUGCAAGUCGAACGGAAAGGCCCUGCUUUUGUGGGGUGCUCGAGUGGCGAACGGGUGAGUAACACGUGAGUAACCUGCCCUUGACUUUGGGAUAACUUCAGGAAACUGGGGCUAAUACCGGAUAGGAGCUCCUGCUGCAUGGUGGGGGUUGGAAAGUUUCGGCGGUUGGGGAUGGACUCGCGGCUUAUCAGCUUGUUGGUGGGGUAGUGGCUUACCAAGGCUUUGACGGGUAGCCGGCCUGAGAGGGUGAGCGGCCACAUUGGGACUGAGAGACGGCACAGACUCCUACGGGAGGCAGCAGUGGGGAAUAUUGCACAAUGGGCGGAAGCCUGAUGCAGCAACGCCGCGGGCGGGAUGACGGCCUUCGGGUUGUAAACCGCUUUCGCCUGUGACGAAGCGUGAGUGACGGUAAUGGGUAAAGAAGCACCGGCUAACUACGUG
rnacentral:rRNA from 1 species